rnacentral:rRNA from 1 species
GAUGAACGCUGGCGGCGUGCUUAACACACGCAAGUCGAACGAAGCAUUUGCGACAGAUUUUUUCGGAAUGAAGUUGCUUAUGACUGAGUGGCGGACGGGUGAGUAACGCGUGGGUAACCUGCCUUGUACUGGGGGAUAGCAGCUGGAAACGGCUGGUAAUACCGCAUAAGCGCACAAUGUUGCAUGACAUGGUGUGAAAAACUCCGGUGGUAUAAGAUGGACCCGCGUCUGAUUAGCUAGUUGGUGAGAUAACAGCCCACCAAGGCGACGAUCAGUAGCCGACCUGAGAGGGUGACCGGCCAGAUUGGGACUGAGACACGGCCCAGACUCCUACGGGAGGCAGCAGUGGGGAAUAUUGCACAAUGGAGGAAACUCUGAUGCAGCGACGCCGCGUGAGUGAAGAAGUAAUUCGUUAUGUAAAGCUCUAUCAGCAGGGAAGAUAGUGACGGUACCUGACUAAGAAGCUCCGGCUAAAUACGUG